UGGGGAAUUUUGGACAAUGGGGGAAACCCUGAUCCAGCCAUCCCGCGUGUGCGAUGAAGGCCUUCGGGUUGUAAAGCACUUUUGGCAGGAAAGAAACGUCAUGGGUUAAUACCCCGUGAAACUGACGGUACCUGCAGAAUAAGCACCGGCUAACUACGUGCCAGCAGCCGCGGUAAUACGUAGGGUGCAAGCGUUAAUCGGAAUUACUGGGCGUAAAGCGUGCGCAGGCGGUUCGGAAAGAAAGAUGUGAAAUCCCAGAGCUCAACUUUGGAACUGCAUUAUUAACUACCGGGCUAGAGUGUGUCAGAGGGAGGUGGAAUUGCGCGUGUAGCAGUGAAAUGCGUAGAUAUGCGGAGGAACACCGAUGGCGAAGGCAGCCUCCUGGGAUAACACUGACGCUCAUGCACGAGAGCGUGGGGAGCAAACAGG
rnacentral:rRNA from 1 species